rnacentral:lncRNA from 1 species
AUGGCUCCCACUUUGAUGUCCGGAUCCCUCCCUUCUCCCUGGAAAGCAAUAAAGAUGAGAAAACACCACCUUCAGGCCUUCACUGGUGAGUGCCUAGGCUCAGCCCCUGAAGAACAGCUCUCAUCCCACAAUUGCUGCAGAACUCUCCCUCCACCAUGGGCCACAGUGGGUCUUUUUAUCAUUUGUGUCAUUUGAUUGUGGGGUUCUUUUCCAGUGCAUGGGUGUAAUCAUUUUCUCCAGAAGAUCUGUGUAGGACUCCUCCAAGGCUGGCCUCCUCUGUAAGCCCUGGCUACACUGUGUUCCAGUAAAGCUUUCCACCAGGAAUUCUAUGUUCAGCUGUCACAGGCCUGGGGUUUCCCCUGUCACCCNUUUUUAAACUAAAACUUAACAACUCGAUAAACUUUUUUUUUGGUAAACUUAAAAUAAAAUACCCCCCACCACUUUUAAGAAUGUCUCCAACUUUUAACAAGCCCAUUAACUUUAGAGUUAAUUUAAGUUUAUUUGAAAGAGAAAACUAUUUUAUUGUCCACCCAAAAAAAUGACAAUUCAUCACAUUUACUUUGAUUAAAAAAGGACUAAACUUUAUUGACAAACUGCUGCAGACAUUUUGACAUAAGUUUAAGCUACCUAUUUAGGCAGACUUACACAUAUAGCAUUUAAUCUUCCAAGAACAAAAUGGGAGGACGGUACAAAUCCAAUUAGGACUUUAACUUAUGUACAAAGCGGAUUUUGAUUCCUUUUUCAUUCAGCUGCAGUGUCCCUUUUUAUAUCAUGCUAGUGUUGAGACAUACUUGACUAACUACCUUGGGAACAGUUCAAUAUUGACAACUGUCAACUUAAAAAAAUCAUCAGUUUUUGGCUCCAGUGUCCAAGUGAGCUUUUCAUGGAGUGCAGACCUCAGAUGGACAAAACACUUUGUCUUUUUUAAAUACUGCCCUGCCCCCUGCCCAAGGCUGGCUUCACCGGUGGCGUGGUGGUGGACUUCCCCAAUAGCACCAAGGCAAAGAACCCCUGAAUGAGAGUAACGAGAGUAAUGAGGAAGAGGAAGUCCAGGAGUCCGUGUUCACAAGAGAGAGGAUCCCAUACAGGAUCGCGUGCCGUGGGGUGGUAAGGAAGAGCCGUGAGUGGGUGCUGGAGAAGAAGGAGCGCCGUAGGCGGCAGGGCAAGGAGGUCAGACCUGACGCCCAGUACACCAGCCGCAACUGCAAGCCCCGCUUCUAGGUGGUUUGCUUAGGCUGCACGCGGUUAUUACAGGUGAGUUUUCUCUCUUGAAGUGCCUACAUCCGUCAGAUGACAAAAAUAUUGUUUUAGAAAAGUUUUCAUGUUCUAACGGCUUCUCUUCACUUAACAAAAGUUUUAAUAGCAUCUUAUUUUGUUCUAAAAGCAAUAAACCACUUCUGUGACACA